rnacentral:lncRNA from 1 species
CCCAAAAUCGAUACCAACCUUCCUUUUGUGGUCAUAAACAUUGUGUUUAAAUUUCAUUGAUUUCUAUUUACUUAAACUAAAGUUAUGGUGCGAAAACCAAGAAAAAUGCUUAUUUGGGUCCCUUUUUGGCCCCUAAUUCCUAAACUGUUGGGACCUAAACUCCCAAAAUCGAUACCAACCUUCCUUUUGUGGUCAUAAACAUUGUGUUUAAAUUUCAUUGAUUUCUAUUUACUUAAACUAAAGUUAUUGUGCGAAAAACCAAGAAUAAUGCUUAUUUGGCCCUUUUUGGCCCCCAAUUCCUAAACUGUUGGACCCAAAACUCCCAAAAUCAAUCCCAACCUUUCUUUUUUGGUCAUAAACCUUGUGUCAAAAUUUC